GCAGGGAGCCCCAGUCAGCGGGUCAUGGCCUUCAAAGCAACCAGAACUCUGUCAAUACUGGAAUGACUUUCCAGGGCAGGGGUAUCAUCUCCACCCUUUUGCUAUUUCAUUCAGGCCCAAAGGAGUCUCCUUUGAUAACCACAUGCCUGCAGAUGGUACUGUUCUGAGAAGAUCAUCAGCCUUAUCUGAGGACCUGCACUCUGGUCCUCAUACAGGUAACACCUGUACUCUGUCUCUGUGACUAGGCAGGGGUUUUAACAUCUUCAUCCUGGAAAAUUGGAGUCCUUCCCAUGGAAUGUGUGUGUUGAGCUUAGCAGAGACAGCCCUUUCCACUCUGGAGGUAAGACUGGGAAAAUUUGAGUCCAGAGCCCUCUGCUGCCUCUGGGCCCACUGCCUGUCCAAACACACCUGCAGGAGGAAAGAAGGACCUUGUUACAAACAAGAGAAGAAGAGGAGAUCAAAGCAGCUGCAUCAUCUCAUUAACCUUCACCCCCAGAGAAGAUGGCAAGGAAAACUUAGAAACAAACAAAAUCAAGCCACUCUUCCUGCCUUCAGUGGAGCUUCAAACCAGAGGAUGUUACCUGGAACACACUGGAGAGUCAUAACCUUGGAGGUAGACCUUGCUUCUCCAGAUGUGAUCCUUGGACCAGCAGCAUCAGCAUCACCUAGGAGCUUUUAGAAAUGUCAAAUGAUGGGCCCCAUCCCAGCCCCACUGAAUCAGAAUCUGCAUUUUAUCAAGAUCCCAAGGUCAUGAGAAAGUGCCCUGGAGCUAGACGGCUGGGGUUCAACACCUCGCUCUGCCUGUGUUACUGGAUGGUACAGGACAAAUUAUUUCAACUCUUCUCCUCAGUUUCCUCAAUUAAAACAUAGAGAUGAUCAGAAUUGCAUCUAUCUAUCAGAGUGAAGUUCACAUUAAAGACGUCAGUCCCAGGAAACUCCUACUCACCCAGCUUGAAUUCACCAGGGGAAGGCUGAAUGAGGACACAGUGAGAAGAUGGGAAGGUGGUCUCACCACAACCCAAUCCAACAGCACCUUGAUCUUGGAUACACAGCCCCCAGAACUUCAGGACAAUAGAUGGAUUUCUGUUGUUUAAGCCACCCAGUCUGUAGUCAUUUGUGAUGACAGCCUUAGCCAACUCAUAUAAACCAUAGAGGCCUAAACAGGUCCACUCAACGACUGAGAGAAAUUGCAAUGCAGUAAAACUCCCCAUAAGCUUCUUCAGAGGAAGACAUUUCUGGGACACCUUUUGCCCCAAAGAUUAUUCCUCACUCACUGACCUCUGGGUUUCAAGGAGAAGCUCCCUUCCUGCUGAUUUUAAGCAUCCCAUAGAAUGACAAUCAUCGACAGGAAAGAUAUUGUCUAAUCCCAACCACACAAAGACUCCCUGGGGCCAAGGAACACAGCCAGACAAUUUUACUCCCUGGGCAUCUCUGCUCCUAUGCAAAGGGGGGAUUAUGGAGAAAGGUUUUACCCACACAACAAACCUGCCAUAAGGUAACUGCUAAUGACACAGCUGGCACUCCACGCAGAGCACCUGCCGCCACCUGACAACAGCACAAAGCUUGACAUUUUGGCAGCGCUUCUUUGUCUAACACAAAUGAUCUUAUUUUCACAAGCAACUGGAGCUGCCAAAAGGCCCAGUGAACAAACAC
ensembl:lncRNA